rnacentral:lncRNA from 10 species
AUAGUAUUGGGCAUCCUUCUUAUUUGUGUUAUUUGAUGCUGAGUGUGAGCACUUUCUCUGUGUCAGGGUAAGCCAAUGAUCUGAGUAGGGCUUGAUAAUGCCAUUGGAGAGUCUGACAAGAUCAAAGUGUAAAUGGGAGAGAAGAGGAAAAGAAGGAAAGAAAUGAGAGCCACAUAUCUACUGGCAAAAGGAAAAGUGCAAAAUUUCCAAGGGCAGGCUGCUGAAGGCCUGCCAGAGCGGGAUGGAAGGCAAAGGUUGUUGAAGUUAUGAAUGUCUGUUUCACAGAACUAAAUAUGAACAGCUUUAUUAAGGAGAUGGCUCAUCCCAGGAUAAAGACAGCAACAGAUGAUAUAGAGAAGAUUACACCAAACAAAUCUGCUGUAAACUGCAUUUACCCUUAGGAGAUGAUAAACUAAAGAUGAAGGGAAGGGAUAAUGAAUGAAUGUUAAGAGCUAAAAACUAUAAAACUCUUAGAAGAAAAUAUAGCAGUAAAUCAACAAAACCUUGGAUUAGGCAACAGUUUCUCAGAUAUCUCAUCAAAAGCACAAGCGACAAAAUUAAAAAAUAGAUAAAUUGGACUUCAUCAAAGUAAAACUUUUGCGUUCCAAAGAAUACCAUCAAGAAAGUAAAAAGACAACCCACAGAAUGGAAGAAAAUAUUUGCAAAUCAUAUAUCUUAAGAGAAUUGUAGCCAGAAUAUAAAAACUCUCACAACUCAACAAUAAAAAAACAAAUAACUCAAUUUUGAAAGUGGACAAAGGGAUAGACCUACAAAUGUUCAAUAAACACAUGAAAAGAUACUCAGUAUCAUUAGCCAUCAGGGAAAUGCCAGUCAAAACCACAAUAGAUACCAUUUUAUGCCCACUAGAAUGGCUAUAAGAUAGAUAAUACUAAAUUUUGUCAAAGAUUUGGAGAAAUCAAACCCUUACACAUUGUUGAUGAGAAUGUAAAAUGGUACACAAUUUUUGGAAAACAAUCUGGCAGUUCUUCAGAGUUAAAACAAAAAGUUACCUUGUGACCUAGCAAUCCCAUUCGAAGAGAGUUAAAAACAUAUUUUCCAACAAAAGCUUGUACAUGAAUGUUUAUAGCAACAUUAUUCAUUAUGGCCAAAAAGUGGAAACAGCCCAAAUAAAUGUUCCUCAGCUGAUGAGUGGGUAAAUAAACGUGGUAUGAAC